rnacentral:sRNA from 1 species
UGUCUGUCGUCCGUCUGCCCGUUCGUCUGUCCGGCAGUCCGCAAACUUUUCAGAUUUUCAACAUCUCCUCCAGAACCACUUGGCCAAUUUCAACCAAAUUUUAGGCAAAGGGGAUUCAAAGUUGUGAAAAAUAAGGAACACGCUUUUUUAAAAAGAGAAAUUUAUGAGAAAUUUGUUUGGAAGCAUUCUCAUGUAGUGUAGAUUUAAAGUUGUGAAAAUCGUGAUCCCUGGGGGUAGUAUGGGGCCACAAUGGAGGGUCGAAUUUUUACAUAGGAAUAUAUAGAGAAAAUCUUUAAAAAAUUUCUUCUCAGAAACCGAUCCUUCAGAAAAGCUGUUACUUUUGUGGAAGCAUCCACAAGUAGGGAAAAUUCAAGUUUGUUAAAAACCUGAUCUCCGGGGGUAGGGUAGGACCACAAUGGGGGAGUCAAAUGUUAACAUAUGAAUAUAAAGGGGAAAUCUUUUAAAAUCAUCUUCUAAAACACAAUUUGCCUUAAAAAGCUGUAAGUUUAGUCAGUUCAAAUAGUGUAGACUAAAUUUUGUCAAAAUCAUAGUCUUCAGAAGUAGGGUUGGGCCACAGUCUUAUUAUUUGAGUUAUUUUUCGAAAAUUUUAGUUCAAUAAUGUUUACGUAGGGAAACAUUGAAUUUGUCAGGUAAGCGUGCUUUGAUUUCCUUAUGUGUGUUUCUUUCACUCGUGUUUUUUAAAAUCAUGUACAUUGUACAUUAGUAAUUGUUCUUAACGCGUGUGUUUUUAUUGUAAAUUCUUAAAUGUUCAUGACAUUUAUGCUUAUUUGAUGUAUUCUACAUCUUUUGAACAUUACUUAAAGCUGUAAUAAAGACAUUAAU